UGAGGAAUGAAUGAGCUGGA
rnacentral:misc_RNA from 1 species